AUACUUAUCUACGGGAUUGAUGAGUGAUAAAAAAAGCUCAUGGCCUAGGCUAUCAACUUUCAUUACACUUAAAAGGGUUGUUGUCCUAAGGUCUAUUUAAGUAGUGGAGCCUACAUCAUAAUUUAUAAUCGCGGAGGUCUGCAUUCGCGCAGUCUUUAC